rnacentral:rRNA from 1 species
AACGAACGCUGGCGGCAUGCCUAACACAUGCAAGUCGAACGAGACCUUCUGGUCUAGUGGCGCACGGGUGCGUAACGCGUCGGAACCUGCCCUUAUUAUCGGAAGAACUCCCCGCAAGGAGUCCUAAUACCGGAUAAUUUCUUCGGACCAAAGAUUUAUCGCCUUUGGAUGGGCGCGCGUUGGUUUAGCUAGUUGGUAGGGUAAAAGCCUACCAAGGCGACGAUCCAUAGCUGGUCUGAGAGGAUGAGCAGCCACACUGGGACUGAGACACGGCCAAGACUCCUACGGGAGGCAGCAGUGGGGAAUAUUGGACAAUGGGCGAAAGCCUGAUCCAGCAAUGCCGCGUGAGUGAUGAAGGCCUUAGGGUUGUAAAGCUCUUUUACCCGGGAUGAUAAUGACAGUACCGGGAGAAUAAGCUCCGGCUAACUCCGUG